CCCACCACCAUCAUCGUUCCUCUGGUCUCAAAUUCGUUUUUUAGGGUUUUUUUUUUUUUUUUUUUCUUUUAAUUUUUCUUUUUCUCUCUUUCCCCAAAUUUUCUCUCUCUUGUCUCAGAGAGCGAAUUCCAUUAACAAAGAAAGAGAGGAAGAGGAAAGCAGAGAAAAAAAAAUAUACAAAAAAAAUGGCCGCUUCAAACGCCUCAGUGGGAAUCAUGGCAAUCAUUGCUCUUAUCUUCGCCGUCGUUUUGCCCACUGCUCGUGCUGAAUUUCCAGCUCCGGCUCCGGCUCCGACUAGCGAUGGGACAGCAAUAGACCAAGGGAUAGCAUACAUUCUAAUGCUGGUGGCGUUGGUGCUCACUUAUCUCAUUCACUGAAAAUUCAAUGUCUUUUUCCAAUUCAAAAAAAUAGGGUUUGGAGGAGGAAAAAAAAGAUUAAUGGAUGGUAGAUAGAGGGAUUUUAUAUAUUGGAUUAAAAAGAAAAAUUCCAUGUAAUUAAUCUAGUUAUCCCCCCAUUCUCUUUUUAUUCAUAUAUUUUGAAAA